CCCUUAGAUGUUCUGGGCUGCACACGUGCUACACUGGCAGGUUCGGCGAGCUUCAUGCCCUGAUCUGAAAGGAAUGGGAAAUCUUUUCAAAACCUGCCGUGCUUGGGAUAGAUGUUUGCAAUUAUUCAUCUUCAACGAGGAUUGCCUUGUAAGCGCACGUCAUCAGCGUGCAUUGAAUACGACCCUGUAUUCUGUACACACCGCCCGUCGCUCCUACCGAUUGAAGUUUUCGGUGAGUUGACAGGAGGAUUUUUUUGAAACUGGUUCGCCAGUGGAUUUUAGAUCCAAAUGCCAACGAAUCGAUGGCUUUAGAGGAAGGAGAAGUCGUAACA
rnacentral:rRNA from 1 species